UAGAAAAGGAGAACUGCUGCCCAUCUUGGGCAGAGCUCAGGUCAUUUGGAAUGUUAAGGUUACUUUCUUGGUGGUUUGCCAUCGUGGAUCUCAGUGGGUUUUGAAAGUGAAAACUCCAGUGAUGAAAAGAUCUCCUUCGUUUCCCACAGACGGCGCCAAUUGAUGAUCUGAGAUCUAAUAGAAUAGGGUUUUACAAGGGUUUUUGUAUUGAAAAAUAAACUUAAACUUUCUGGGGGGGGUUUCCCCUUUUAUCCAUUUCGCUAUGCUUGCUGGUGACGUGUAAAAGCCUUUCCAUGAUUGGGACACGCGUCUCUGACAUACAGAUUCGGGUGUACGAGGGUAUCA
rnacentral:lncRNA from 1 species